rnacentral:rRNA from 1 species
GAUGAACGCUGGCGGCGUGCUUAACACAUGCAAGUCGAACGAAGCACCUCUCCCGAAGAUUGACACAGCUUGCUGUAGAUUGAUUCAUUUGAGGUGACUGAGUGGCGGACGGGUGAGUAACGCGUGGGUAACCUGCCUCAUAGAGGGGGACAACAGUUGGAAACGACUGCUAAUACCGCAUAGUAAGAAGAAUUCGCAUGUUUUCUUCUUGAAAGAUUUAUCGCUACGAGAUGGACCCGCGUCUGAUUAGCUAGUUGGUAAGGUAACGGCUUACCAAGGCGACGAUCAGUAGCCGGCUUGAGAGAGUGAACGGCCACAUUGGGACUGAGACACGGCCCAAACUCCUACGGGAGGCAGCAGUGGGGAAUAUUGCACAAUGGGGGAAACCCUGAUGCAGCGACGCCGCGUGAGUGAAGAAGUAUUUCGGUAUGUAAAGCUCUAUCAGCAGGGAAGAUAAUGACGGUACCUGACUAAGAAGCCCCGGCUAACUACGUG